AUGGGAACGCGAAGAACCUUACCUAGACUUGACAUCUCCUGAAUAGUGUAGAGAUACAUGAAGCCCUUCGGGGCAGGAAGACAGGUGGUGCAUGGUUGUCGUCAGCUCGUGUCGUGAGAUGUUGGGUUAAGUCCCGCAACGAGCGCAACCCUUAUUACUAGUUGCUACCAUUAAGUUGAGCACUCUAGUGAGACUGCCCGGGGUUAACCGGGAGGAAGGCGGGGAUGACGUCAAAUCAUCAUGCCCCUUAUGUCUAGGGCUACACACGUGCUACAAUGGUGAGAACAACGAGAUGCAAUACCGCGAGGUGGAGCAAAACUUCAAAACUCAUCUCAGUUCGGAUUGUAGGCUGAAACUCGCCUACAUGAAGUUGGAGUUGCUAGUAAUCGCGAAUCAGAAUGUCGCGGUGAAUACGUUCCCGGGUCUUGUACACACCG
rnacentral:rRNA from 1 species